rnacentral:sRNA from 10 species
GUAAGCCCCCAAUCCUCUCUAUUGAAAUCAGGGAAGAUUGUCCUCAUAUUGAGAGUCUUAAAAUGCAAUUGAGAAGAUGGCAAAUUCAGCACACCCCUAGAGAAGCAAAUGAUAUCGGGGAUGGUCUUCCUAAAACCGUUGUUUAAUGAUCACAGUGUGUAGUGUUAGGAAUGCUAUGCUCAGCCUAUGAAAAUAAUUGCUUGCUGAUCAGCAGGGAGUCACUGUUUGAUUUCCUUGUAGGGUAGGGGUUCCUUGUGAUGAAAGUGGUGUUGUACUCGGUCAAGGUCAUUUUGGUCUCAUUCACUGUAUUAUUUAUACAAUCUUCGUGCCUUUCACAAAAAAAAAAGUACAUAUAUAAGCAUCCAAAGCUGAGGGAACGUACACAAAGUUGGAGAUCAAGUUAAGCCAAAGGCGACAAUGCAAUGGGUCCAUUGCUUCCUCUCAAUUUUAAUUAUUGUUCUUUGUACCGUUGAUCGGUCGAUAUCUAAUUGAAAAUGCUUACAAAUUAUCUCGUAACAUGAAUGAAAAGGACCUAGUUCCCAUGGUUUAGAAAAUCGCCAUGAUUCAGACAUAUGGUUGUAGUUGCACACAUGGAGAAGUCGAAACUGAAAAGCUGAUCGCUGAACUUUGUGGGUUCAUUUGGUGGAACCGGCUCUGCCUCUAGACGUAACGGUGAGUGCUGCCAGCUCUCCUGGUUUUUCACUUUUGAUUUUUCAUUGAAGAGGUCAAGAGAGAAUUAGCUAAGUAUGUCGACAUGGUAGUAGGAGCCAGGCAUAAGUCUGGCAUACGAAGUCAAGAAUAAUAGCAGAAUGAACAGUAACAGCAAGAGAGUUUGGUGCAUCCAUAUCGGACUUCUAAGCUGGACUUCUAAGCUAUCUCAAACUUUUGGUGCAAUCAUUUAAGAUUGCAAUGAUCAAAAUCUGUCAUGAUUAUGUUUUAUUGAAUGAAAAGUUCAGAGAAGCUUUUUUUA